GUGCUGCAUAUUUCUCCCUCUCUUCUCUUGCUGGCCUUAACAAGCAGUGCUUGAGCUCGUCCGUUGUCCAAAUCUUUGAGGGGUACGCAGAUAGUGCUGACAAGUUUGUAGCGGACGUGGAGUCCGCCUGCCCACUCCGCCGCGACACCUUCUUCCCCUACCCAUUUGUCAGGAAACUUCUUGAAGGGAAAUAUCUCAGCUAUGAGAGGGUGAAAGGAAUUUGGUUCUCAUUGGUGGCUCCAACCGGGACAAAAGGCCCCUCCCCCCGCUGGCCUGGCUAGCCGUUGGACCCGAGACUAAAGCACUCUUUGGUCGCGGGUCUAAAGACAGCCGGGACAAAUGACUUGGACCAAAAACCUAUUCUGUAGUAGUGUUUCGCCCUCCUUGCUAGUAGAGUUGUCCACUUCUAUAUAAUUAAGCAGCUCAGCUCGUCCGGUAAGAAGAAGAGAACGACGCAACCAACCACCACACACCUCCUCCUUCCUUCUCUGGAUAUCAUUCACACCACCUCGCUCCCCUUCAUCCCAUCAUCACCUGCCUACCUUAGGUGUUGUCUGAUCACCAUCAGUUGGUGGGUGUGAUUAUUCGCAGGGCGCACGCUGCAAUAAUAAAACUGAGCAGCAGGUAGCAGAUCAGCUUCAGACCACUGUCCUCUCUAAUGGGGGAAAUGGUGGCUUCGACUCUUGCUCAGGAGGGCGUGAGCAGGGUGUUCUCGUCCAUCUCAACCAAGCUCGAUGACAGGGCGUCCAGAGCUCACAACGUCGCGAGGCUGGAGAUGGCACUCUCUGGCUUGGAGUUUGUCCUUGAGUGGGCCAGGAAGCGGCCAAUCACAUACGUCUCCCUCAUCCGUCGCUGGGGCAUGUUCAGUCGCGCCUACAACGAGGGAGUUGAUCUGCUCAACAAGCACAAGCUGCCAGCAGCGCUCGAAGGCCACGCGGAAACUGGGCAAGUGGUGGUAAGGAGUUCCUACUACUACCUCCAACGGAUUGCUGGUGCUGCAUAUUUCUCCUUCUCUUCUCUUGCUGGCCUGAACAAACAGUGCUUGAGCUCGUCCGUUGUCCAAACCUUUGAGAGGUACGCAGACAGUGCUGACAAGUUUGUAGCGGAUGUGGAGUCCGCCUGCCCAUUCCGGCGCGACACCUUCUCCCCCUACCCAUUUGUCAGGAAACUUCUCCCAGGGAGAUAUCUCAGGUACUAUAGGUGGGUGAAAGGAAGCCAAGUGCUCUGGUUUUGAUCCCGAGAGGUUAGAUAAAAGUUUCAGCCUAUUAUUAAUGCAACGGCUGUCGGAAAGCACGGACAUAGUUGGGACUGCUAUAGAUUGCGUGCGGUCAUCCGCAUCACUGCUCAACCUUCCAGCUCAAGAUGCAAUAAUUGGACAUCUCACCCAAGUGCGUAAUUUACAGGAGAUUUCAGAUUCGUAUGCUCCUCCCUUUGUUGGCUUUGAAAAACUUUCCCUUCGUUUAGUACAUGCUUGCGCCCGGAUCCACUAUGUUGCCAACCAAAUGGGCAUGGGCCUAGUGCUAAUUGCACUAAUUCAUUGGGGUUAUCGCAUUUAUUCCAAGAGCAAACUAUUUAUUUCAAAAUCAGUUGUUAUGUCUCAGCACUAGAGUACAACUUGCCUAGUGCAUCCGACGAGGCUGGUGGUAGAAACAUCGUGGUAGAUCGGACACCUCUUAAGCUGGAUGUUCGCUUCACACCUCAUGCCGAUCCGAGAUGCAACAGUAUUGUAACGGAGGCCAUGGGAAGCAAAAACGAACGUUUUCCAUUUUGUAGCAUAGAACAAACAGUUGAUAUGACAAGAUCAAGAUCAGUUGAAUUUCUCAUCGGUCAGCCAGAGGUGAAGGAUUAUAUGGUGUCCUGGCACUCAAGACAUAGUUUGGCACGCUUUAUCGUGGAAAAGCCAAGGAUCGACAGGGCGGCUGUGCCCAAAGUCAGCAGCAGGUACAAUACUCGGAGUGCAGCUGCAAAGAGAAAGCGGUCGUAGAAGACUUGGGCUUGUCAACUAGCUAGCAUGUAUAUAUAUAUCGUGUGUUUCUUUUACUGAAUGUAUAACGAGCAGAAGCUCUGCUGCUGUUUGUGAAAUGAAUGAAGGUACUAUUUUUGCAUUA